rnacentral:rRNA from 1 species
UUCGCCCUUUUCCGUUGAUCCUGCCGGACCUGACUGCUAUCGGAUUGAUACUAAGCCAUGCGAGUCAUUGUAGCAAUACAAGGCAGACGGCUCAGUAACGCGUAGUCAACCUAACCUAUGGACGGGAAUAACCUCGGGAAACUGAGAAUAAUGCCCGAUAGAACACUAUACCUGGAAUGGUUUGUGUUCCAAAUGAUUUAUCGCCGUAGGAUGGGACUGCGGCCUAUCAGUUUGUUGGUGAGGUAAUGGCCCACCAAGACUAUUACAGGUACGGGCUCUGAGAGGAGUAGCCCGGAGAUGGGUACUGAGACACGGACCCAGGCCCUAUGGGGCGCAGCAGGCGAGAAAACUUUGCAAUGUGCGAAAGCACGACAAGGUUAAUCCGAGUGAUUUGUGCUAAACGAAUCUUUUGUUAGUCCUAGAACCACUAACGAAUAAGGGGUGGCCAAGUUCUGGUGUCAGCCGCCGCGGUAAAACCAGCACCUCAAGUGGUCAGGAUGAUUAUUGGGCCUAAAGCAUCCGUAG